GAGGAGAAAUAGAAAGAAAGUAUGGUAACCAGGCUAUGGAAUUAACAGUAGUCGCAGCUGCAGCCAAUAUAGCCACAGCUUUAGGAGCUCUUGUUUUAUUCGCUCUCUACCUGUAGCAAGUGCGAAGCUUGGCACAAGAUCUUUUAGACAAUAAAGUUGGGCGAAAAUUGAGGAAACGUUGGGGAUGAUCAUGCUGUUUUCGAGCAAGGUGCUUCCGCUGGAAACGUGGGAAACAUGAAAGUGCUGGAGCAGAAGAAAGCAAAUCCAGUGUGGCCUUGCUUCUCUCUUCAGUCAUGAUGCUGAGACAUCUCCAAUUCCCAUCAUUUGCCAAUCGAUUAGAAACUGCUGUGAAAUGGGUUAUAUCGGAGGGUGAUAGCUCCGAUUCCUAGACAAAAGACCUUGGUGGUGAUAGCUCCACCCAGGAAGUCGUUGAUGUCGUCCUUGGAGCUCUAGACAUUUCUGCUAUACACAGUUUCCUGUAAAACUGUCCAUUGGUCCUGGGCUGCAAAGCUGCUUGUUUGUCCCAACAGAUAUUUCACUUGCAACUAUUUGUUAGGAAUUCUUAGUACCCUUUAUUAUGUAUUGGCUGUUUGAUUAUCAAAUCCCAGACAAAGAAUAUUAUGUCAUUUCGAAUAAUGACCUUUCAAGCUAUUGUGAAAGUUUAGACUAUCCACGCAUUUGGUAUCAAGGAAAAUAGGAAUUCAGAAAGGGUUCACAUGCAGUGGAUUAUGU